rnacentral:tRNA from 1 species
CAGAAUUGUAGUUUAAACAAAAUAUUAGUAUUGGAAACUAAAGACUAGGUAAUUAAUCCUACAUUCUGA